GGGGGGGGUAGGCUACCAUGCAAGUCGAACGGCAGCACAGGAGAGCUUGCUCUCUGGGUGGCGAGUGGCGGACGGGUGAGGAAUACAUCGGAAUCUACUCUGUCGUGGGGGAUAACGUAGGGAAACUUACGCUAAUACCGCAUACGACCUACGGGUGAAAGCAGGGGACCUUCGGGCCUUGCGCGAUUGAAUGAGCCGAUGUCGGAUUAGCUAGUUGGCGGGGUAAAGGCCCACCAAGGCGACGAUCCGUAGCUGGUCUGAGAGGAUGAUCAGCCACACUGGAACUGAGACACGGUCCAGACUCCUACGGGAGGCAGCAGUGGGGAAUAUUGGACAAUGGGCGCAAGCCUGAUCCAGCCAUACCGCGUGGGUGAAGAAGGCCUUCGGGUUGUAAAGCCCUUUUGUUGGGAAAGAAAUCCAGCUGGCUAAUACCCGGUUGGGAUGACGGUACCCAAAGAAUAAGCACCGGCUAACUUCGUGCCAGCAGCCGCGGUAAUACGAAGGGUGCAAGCGUUACUCGGAAUUACUGGGCGUAAAGCGUGCGUAGGUGGUCGUUUAAGUCCGUUGUGAAAGCCCUGGGCUCAACCUGGGAACUGCAGUGGAUACUGGGCGACUAGAAUGUGGUAGAGGGUAGCGGAAUUCCUGGUGUAGCAGUGAAAUGCGUAGAGAUCAGGAGGAACAUCCAUGGCGAAGGCAGCUACCUGGACCAACAUUGACACUGAGGCACGAAAGCGUGGGGAGCAAACAGGAUUAGAUACCCUGGUAGUCCACGCCCUAAACGAUGCGAACUGGAUGUUGGGUGCAAUUUGGCACGCAGUAUCGAAGCUAACGCGUUAAGUUCGCCGCCUGGGGAGUACGGUCGCAAGACUGAAACUCAAAGGAAUUGACGGGGGCCCGCACAAGCGGUGGAGUAUGUGGUUAAUUCGAUGCACGCGAGAACCUUACCUGGCCUUGACUGUCGAGACUUUCCGAGAUGGAUGGUGCUUCGGGACUCGAACCAGGGCUGCUGCUGCCUCAGUCGGGCUUGAAUGUGGGUAAUCCCCACGAGGCACCUUGCCUAUUGCCACCGAAUGGGGGACUUAAGGACCCCGGGAAACCGG
rnacentral:rRNA from 1 species